GGAGGGCACGGCUUUCAGCUCGAUUCGUUUUCCCACGGAAUUAUCCUGGGAAGAUCGACAGGACCUUCCGCCCCCCGCCUUUCUUUUUAAAAUGAGCCCUUUGCAGAGCAGAGCGCCUGUGUCUCCGACUUCUAACUACCCUCCUUGUUGCUGGGAACAAAUGCCUAGAGACACCUCGACGCUCAGAGACCUUGGAGGGAGUCCCUGGGGACCACUACUGCUUCCAAUCAAAGCUGGAGAAUCUAAGCUGGACAAGAUGGUGCCAUUUCGGUGCCUACUCUUGUAUGUUUGAACUGUUUUAUCUGUGUCUAGAACUGGUACACUUGAAUCUUAAAACUGGUGGAAUUGUGUCACUUUCCUGCAAACAAAAAUCUGCAGUUUAUCUCUGCAAAUAGAAAAAGUCCAAAUCUCUCUGCCUGACGUUCAAAGCCCCUCAUAAAU
ensembl:lncRNA